rnacentral:rRNA from 1 species
CAGUCGCCGCGGGAAUACGAAGGGGGCAAGCGUUGUUCGGAAUUACUGGGCGUAAAGGGCGCGUAGGCGGUGUACCAAGUUAGAUGUGAAAGCCCUGGGCUCAACCUAGGAAUUGCAUUUGAUACUGUUUGGCUUGAGUUCGGGAGAGGUGAGUGGAAUUCCCAGUGUAGAGGUGAAAUUCGUAGAUAUUGGGAAGAACACCAGUGGCGAAGGCGACUCACUGGACCGACACUGACGCUGAGGCGCGAAAGCGUGGGGAGCAAACAGGAUUAGAUACCCCUGUAGUCCCUGUCUCUUAUAC